UGCAGAAUACUAAAAAGGACUCUAGGCUGGGCAUAGUAGCUCAUGCCUGUAGUCCCAGUUACUCAGAGGCUGAAGCAGGAGGAUGGCUUGAGCCCGGUGUAUGAGGCUGCAGUGAGCCAGGAUAGCACCACUGUACUCUAGCUGGGUGAUAGAGGAAGACUGUCACCAAAAAAAAAAAAAAAAAAAAAAGGACUCUAGAGGCCAGAAAGUUUCUUCUCCUGGCAGAGCCUCCUCCCUGCCCCUACUUCCCCUGGAGAGCAGCUCCUUCCAGAAGGCCCACCCAGAGGUGGGUUCAGUACCCCUCGUGGUCCUCAAAUUGCACACUGGGGCUGCUUUUGCCUUGUCAUUUAUCACUCUGCACUGAAAUGGCCAGGAGUCUGCUUCCCGCAGGGGACCGUGAGUCUCUUGGAGGUAGGGGCUGGGUUCAGUAAGUGUCUGUAAAAUGAAUAGGGUCCUCACUGGGGCUUCUCUUGUGUCUGACUUAGUCAUCAUCACCUCGAGCACCCUCACAUUCCACUGAGGCAGAGCCUUGGCACUGCCAUUUGAUGAACUGCCAGGGUGGUGUAAAAUGUCUAGAAUGUCCAUCUUCUGUGUCAUGGGGAAGAGACAGACCUUGAGCGAGGGCUACAACCUCAAAUCAGGGCUGCAUGGCCACUUGCCACCUGGGCACUCUGGGCCUACCUCCAGAUAUUGCAGGCCACACCCCUGCCAGGUAGGAAAGGAGCCAUUUUAUUUUCCUGCUCUCAGAGGUUACGAAACCAACCAAGCAAGGCAAGUCGGCCAUCAGGCUCAGCCUCCCAUGAAGCGCUCCUGACUUCCCACCCUUCCUCCAGGCCAGGAGUCUGCCAAUCACAAUCUGGGUUCUGUUUUCCCGCCUUUCCUGGCAGCACAAACCACGGCUCCGGAUGGUGAGCAAUGCAAGUUCCAGGCAUGCCUUGCUGCAUUACUGGGUUCCCAGGUGUCACUUCAUCCAGAGGGGAGGAGGCCUCGCCACCAUGCCCAGAGCAGCACAGUGAGUCAGAGAUGAAGCUCUUGUCCCACCUGCCCCAACCCUCGAGCCCUGCUUCCCAGGUCCGCAUUCCCAGGCAGCCUGCCACAGCCAGUGCCAGCGAGAGAGUGGAUCAGGCUUCAGGAUAGCCCAGCACUGAGGACAUCUAAAACAGUCUUCAUUUAUUUAUUUAUUGUUCAUAGUGUCCAAAAGUUGGAAUUAAAGUGAAUGGCUGAAUCAAUUAUGGUGCAUUCAUAUUUAGGGAUGUUAUGCAUCUAUUAAAAAGAAUGAAAUAGAGGUAAACCAGUGAUUAAUUUUAAUUAGAUAUUUAUGAAUAAUAAAAGCAAGAUAAGGAAAAGUGUGUAUAUUAUUUAGGUAAAACAGUGAUUUAAAAUCUAUGUGUGUAUAUGUAUGUUUUGUUAGUUUGAGUUCGCCAAAGAUCAGUGAAUCAGUGACCAAGAUGAGGUUCCAUUUGCAAGAGAUUUAUUGGAAAAGCUCCAGGAAAAAUGUGUGUAUAUGGAUAUUUUAUUUCAUCUAAAGUAUAUAGAAUAAAAUACCUUUAGAUGGAAUAAAAUAUCCAUAUUACUUUAAAAUGUUUGGAUUGAAAUACAGUGAAGUGAAAAUUCCCCCUCCCAGUCUGGUUGCCCUUUUUUUUUUUUUUUUUUUUUUUUUUUGAG
rnacentral:lncRNA from 1 species